UCGCCUGACCCCAGCUCUCUGGGCGCCUUGGGCUAGCGGGAGGAGGCAGGGAUGGGGGAGACCGCGGCUUCCUCCCCUUUUCUCCCACCCCCGGCUCGCUCGCUCCUUCCUUCCCUCCCAGCCUGGCCUCCCCUGUUCCCAGUCUCGGGGCUCCGCCGCCCUUUGGAGAGAGCUGCCUUUUUGUGGGGACUUGGGGCUUUUUCUCUCCCCCCCGACUCGGACCCCCCAUCUCCCGCAGUCUCAUCCCCCAGCACCAGCAGCGGCAGCGGCGGCGGGACUGAGUGACCGAAGCCUCUCCCCCCAACCCCCCGGUAACCUUGGAGGCGCCCUCGCACAAAUUUGGAAACCUAUGAACCAGAAGACUAGACAGAGAGACAGUAUAUUAAUUGUAUGAAUGACGAGAAAGAGAGAAGUUCUCCAAGGUGACUGUGUCCCAGAGGCAGUUGGGGCUAAGUGACUUACCCAGGGUCACACAGUAAGUGUCUGAGGCCACAUUUGAACUCAGGUCCUCCUGAUUCCAGGGUUAGUGCUCUAUCUACUAUAGCACCACCUAGCUGCCCCUCAUGCUCAUUCUUUAUGAUCACUGUUUCCUUUAAUAAAAACAUGC